GACGUAGGGCGCGAGCGUUGUCCGGAUUUAUUGGGCGUAAAGAGCUCGUAGGCGGCUUGUCGCGUCGUCCGUGAAAACCCACAGCUCAACUGUGGGCUUGCGGUCGAUACGGGCAGGCUAGAGUUCGGUAGGGGAGACUGGAAUUCCUGGUGUAGCGGUGAAAUGCGCAGAUAUCAGGAGGAACACCGGUGGCGAAGGCGGGACUCUGGGCCGAUACUGACGCUGAGGAGCGAAAGCGUGGGGAGCAAACAGG
rnacentral:rRNA from 1 species